rnacentral:rRNA from 1 species
AGGUUUUCGGAUCUGUAAAGCUCUGUUGUUAGGGAAGAACAAGUACCGGAGUAUCUGCCGGUACCUUGACGGUACCUAACCAGAAAGCCCCGGCUAACUACGUGCCAGCAGCCGCGGUAAUACGUAGGGGGCGAGCGUUGUCCGGAAUUAUUGGGCGUAAAGGGCGCGUAGGCGGUCUCUUAAGUCUGAUGUGAAAGCCCCCGGCUU